GUAUGCUUUCAAACGGGCUA
rnacentral:piRNA from 1 species